ensembl:lncRNA
CUUAGCACCUGGCCAUGGGGCCGGACCGCAACACCCUUCACCACCUCAACUCCCUGCACCUGCAUUUAACAUGAGGAGAGUUACUCUAGGAACGGCAGUCCCUCUUCACCUCCCUCCCCCCCCACACCAGCUCUCAACAUGAGGCGAACAGAGGAGCCCUCUUCAAGCCUGGCCUACAGACCAACAUGGCGAGGGGGAAGAACGACCGAUACCAUUCCCUGCUCUGCGGCUGAGUUCCACAUCCUUAGCCUGCUGGAGAACCUUAAACGGCAACAAGACCAGCUUGUGGUAAAGGUGAACUACCUCAGCAGCAGGCUGAACAGCAACCCGGGGCCAGAUGUUGAGAUGCCGGACAAUAUCCAGUUUCCCCUGGAACAAUUGGAGGCAGUGGAAGCAUUUGAAGUGUUUUUAAAGGAACCGUCAAAUGGCCCAGCUCGACAGAGAGUGAUUUCUUCUUUGGCCACAAUUGGAGGUCAGGAUGUGAAGAAGGUGACCUGGAACAUCCUGG